rnacentral:lncRNA from 1 species
UAUUAAUUUGAUUUUAUUUAAGUUAAUUCAAUAUUUUUGGUUAAUUCUUUUAUUAAGAUUUAUCCAAUUGGAUUCAAUUCAGUUUGAUGUAAUCAAUUUUAUUUUAUUCUAUUAAAAUUUUUUUUAAUUGCCUAUAGUUUUACUUCUUGUCUGCAGAUCACUCUAUACUUGCACCGUUAAUUGCAGCUGGGAGCAGAAGUCUCAGCCCCCUUCUGGAAGGUCAUGGUGCAGCACAGAAGAUCCCUGCUAAGUUUUGGAGUCAUUGCCUGCUUGCAAAGGCCUUCCUUCCCGAACCCCAAGGGUAUCCUUCCUACCCAUAACAUUUUGAUGCCUAACGUGUUUGGCUCUCCUGAAAGCUACUCCUGUACCCCGGAUCAUCCACGAGGACACAGAUUCUCAGCCAGAUAGGGACUAGCCAACCUAAUUAAGACAAAGUGAGAAGAUUCUUGAAGGCCUCUCCUGUUGGGAAGAGAUCAAGUCUAAGAAGCCUGAGAGAAAAUUCAGUUGGAUUUUUGGUUUGUUUGUUUUCUCUCAUGUUAAAUAGCUGAGCAACAUAAAAAAAAUGAUGAGGAAAUUGACUUUUUGUUACCCUAAAUUCUAACACCAGGUGGCAAUUGGACAUAUUUUAUGGACAGAAGCUCUGUACCUUUUAGCUUUAUUCUCUCACCAGGAUCCCAGUUCCCCAAACUCUACUCUUCACUUAGAUUUUAAGGCAAGGGCCCACCUAAAAAAACCCAGGUGGAGAUGGGGUGGGGGGAAGGAAACAGGGAAGCUUUUCAGUUCACUGAUCUGCCUCUGCUCUGCCACUGAUCUGCCACUGAUCUCAGAUCAGAUCUGCCUUCCUCCUCUACUGCAGAGAGGAAGGAUUGAUUCUGAACAGAAAAACUGGUGAGACACCCCUAUUUUGGGGAUUUUUUAAUGUUUUACACUUUUAAAACUAAGUUUUUUUCAACUUGUAGAACAACCUAUUAAUUAUCUUCUGUUUUGAGGUAAACAGGGAGAGAUAAGAAGACCUAAUAAAUCUCCUUUCCCUGUCUGCUAGCCA